rnacentral:rRNA from 1 species
UACGGAGGGGGCAAGCGUUAUUCGGAAUUAUUGGGCGUAAAGGGCGCGUAGGCGGCUUGACAAGUCAAAGGUGAAAUCCCUCGGCUCAACUGAGGAACUGCCUUUGAAACUGUCUGGCUUGAGGCCGGGAGGGGGUAGUGGAAUUCCCAGUGUAGCGGUGAAAUGCGUAGAUAUUGGGAGGAACACCAGUGGCGAAGGCGGCUACCUGGACCGGUUCUGACGCUGAUGCGCGAAAGCGUGGGUAGCAAACAGG